UGUGCGCGAGAAUACUUUUUACACCCGUCUUGGGACAACUUCAGACUACACUAGUACACACCGUGCUGUCAAACAUGAGUUUCAACACCAGAGUUGAUGGGUAGAGCACUGUUUUGAUUGAUUGAAGACCUUCACCAAGCUGUUUGUUGUGAGGAACCAACAUGCAGAGGCCUGUAUGUGCUGGUGGGACAAAUAAAGGUGACGCACAUCCUCAUGGAAGAGCAGCUGGUGUUCACUGGACUUUGCAGCAGACGUAGAAAAGAAAAAAAAGAUAUCUACAAACACUAAAGAGGCAGCCGGAUCUCGUUAGGAGCAGCCAGACCAACUCUCUGUGCAGGCCUGCACAACUGACACCCAGCGGCUUGUAGGAGUUGAAAAAUGGGAGAAGUCUCGAAGAUGAAUGAAACACAAUUACCCAAGAACAGUGUCUCAACAAUGUCAAGGCCAGCCGUCAUCCUUUGAAUUUUCCCUUCAUUCUUUCUGCUGGGUGUACAGGCGAUGCCAGGGGGGGCCCUUUUACUCACCUCUCCUUAGAGCCCACCCAUCGGUGCCCUAGGGCAGAGGAGUUGAGGGCAGAAGGUGAGAGGGACAUGGAGAGGGGACAAGGUCAGAGCUGACGCUUCAGGCGCUAUAAAGAAACACACACUUUUCUGUGUUUUCCCUUGUCUGCUUGAUAAAGUAUCACGCUGGUUGAGUUUUUUCCCUCCUAUAUAAACUUAGUCUCGGCAAUGAUAGGAAAAAAAAUGUCUUUAGAAGAAAGCAAACUUACUGGAAUACAUAAUGCAUAUAUAGUUUAAAUCAUCGUCAGUUAUUACUUAACCGGAUGAAUUCAAGCUAACAAGUGUAUUAACUAUAUUUGACAACACUGUAUUGAGUAUUUCUAGCACCUCAUUUAAAGUGUUACCCAGAUAUUAAGGAUAAACUAAUAAAAAUGGGUGAUAAUUAGUUGUGUGAGAAAGUUUGGAAACUGUAGUGUUGGUUCAUUUAGAAAUCCUUCUGAUUUGUUAUGAUCCAUAUUUACAUGAGCAAUUCUUAAAAAUCAGAAGUGACUUUCAGUCGAACUGUAUAUGAGAAAAGUUGUUGACUGUAGUUUUAGGAUCUUAAGAACAUUUUUAAUUAGAUAUGAUCGUAUCUCCAAUAAAAACAAGGAUUUUUUUCCGUGUUGUAGCAUAAAUGUGACAAUGAGUUUUCAUGACUAGCUAAUAUCAAAGUAACUAUUUAUUAUUAUGUUUUUUUUUUCAUUUAGAUUUAUUUCAAACAGAAAAAGAAAUACAUGUUUUAUAGCAAAAAAUGACCAAAUAAAUAUAUGCAAACAUUAAACUCAAAACAGCAUUUAUGUUCCGAUCAUACUGACUGACAAAAUGAGUGUCACCAUUAUAGAAUGUGAACUUUGACUUUCCAUUUGCAUAAAUAACUUUCUGUCUCAGCUUGAAAGAGGGUGAGCAGAAGAAACCUUAUGUAAUCCCUCCCCAGUCCAGUUAUCAUUUUGUCCUCGUAAGGCUGCUUCUUACAGUUCAUCAUUUUUGAAAAGAGUAUGCUCAAUAUUUAUACAUUUAUUUCUACAUGUUUAAAAGAUUAUAGAUUUAUUUAUUUUUUUAUCAUCUUUCCCUGAAACCUGCACUCUGGAGCACUCU